AACGAACGCUGGCGGCAUGCCUAACACAUGCAAGUCGAACGAGACCUUCGGGUCUAGUGGCGCACGGGUGCGUAACGCGUGGGAACCUGCCCUUAGGUUCGGAAUAACUCCCCGAAAGGGGUGCUAAUACCGGAUAAUGUCUUCGGACCAAAGAUUUAUCGCCUUUGGAUGGGCCCGCGUUGGAUUAGCUUGUUGGUAGGGUAAAAGCCUACCAAGGCGACGAUCCAUAGCUGGUCUGAGAGGAUGAUCAGCCACACUGGGACUGAGACACGGCCCAGAAUCCUACGGGAGGCAGCAGUGGGGAAUAUUGGACAAUGGGCGAAGGCCUGAUCCAGCAAGGCCGCGUGAGUGAUGAAGGCCUUAGGGUUGUAAAGCUCUUUUACCCGGGAUGAUAAUGACAGUACCGAGAGAAUAAGCUCCGGCUAACUCCGUG
rnacentral:rRNA from 1 species